rnacentral:rRNA from 1 species
AAUUGGGCGUUAAGUUGCAGGGUAUAGACCCGAAACCCGGUGAUCUAGCCAUGGGCAGGUUGAAGGUUGGGUAACACUAACUGGAGGACCGAACCGACUAAUGUUGAAAAAUUAGCGGAUGACCUGUGGCUGGGGGUGAAAGGCCAAUCAAACCGGGAGAUAGCUGGUUCUCCCCGAAAGCUAUUUAGGUAGCGCCUCGUGAAUUCAUCUCCGGGGGUAGAGCACUGUUUCGGCUAGGGGGCCAUCCCGGCUUACCAACCCGAUGCAAACUGCGAAUACCGGAGAAUGUUAUCACGGGAGACACACGGCGGGUGCUAACGUCCGUCGUGAAGAGGGAAACAACCCAGACCGCCAGCUAAGGUCCCAAAGUCAUGGUUAAGUGGGAAACGAUGUGGGAAGGCCCAGACAGCCAGGAUGUUGGCUUAGAAGCAGCCAUCAUUUAAAGAAAGCGUAAUAGCUCACUGGUCGAGUCGGCCUGCGCGGAAGAUGUAACGGGGCUAAACCAUGCACCGAAGCUGCGGCAGCGACGCUUAUGCGUUGUUGGGUAGGGGAGCGUUCUGUAAGCCUGUGAAGGUGUGUCGUGAGGCAUGCUGGAGGUAUCAGAAGUGCGAAUGCUGACAUAAGUAACGAUAAAGCGGGUGAAAAGCCCGCUCGCCGGAAGACCAAGGGUUCCUGUCCAACGUUAAUCGGGGCAGGGUGAGUCGACCCCUAAGGCGAGGCCGA